GCAUCGCUCCUGCUGCUGGUGGUGCUGCUGCUGCUGGGGCAAAACCUGGGUCUUCUCAUCGAAAUCCCGCAGGAUGCCGUCAGUGGUACCGUGGGGCAGUCCGUGCUCCUGCCCGUCUCCUACAGAGUCAACAGCUCCCUUCUCUUCCCAGUGCCAAUUGUGUGGAAGUUUGGGAGCAGCUCACAAGUGAUCGUCACCUGCACGGUGCGGAACUGCUCCCUGGAUGCUUGGGGAACUCCCACAAAUUGCUCUGCAAUAUGUUACCCUCAUGUCACAUACCAGGGCCGUGCUGCGGUCUUCCCCGAGAACGCAUCGCUGCUGCUGCGGGACCUGCAGCUCAAUGACAGCGGGGUGUACAGCGUCACCUUCAUACAGCAAAACCUAAGCAGGCAGAUCACCCUGGCCGUGCACAAGCAGCAUGGUUCCACUGAGCAUCCUGAUGAAGGUAAGUGCCCGUGUGCCUGGACAGACUCCUUCUGUACUUCCCUGGACAUGGGAACAUCAGGCAUGCGCUGGAAUUUGGACCUUCUUUCUAUUGCGAUGAACUCCUGCAGCAAAGGUAGGAUUUCCAGGGGUAUUACAACUGAUGCUGGUUGUGCUGCUCUUUUAUAGAAGGAAACCCACCUGACUGCUGCUGAAUUAGAAGCGUGAGAGCUUCUUGUGCAUGCAGCUGGUUGUCUUGUCUUUAUGUGAAAUGAAUGGCUGCAGAAGGGAGAGAUGGGCUCAGAAACUGAAGCACUGUGUCUGAGUCCCGUGCCGGGGGAAAUCCAUUAAUCGCUGGGUUUAAUAGGGUGCUUGCAGAUAAUCCAAUAGCCACAAAGACUGUGAAACACAUGCCGAACAUUCUUCUUCCACUUCGGUGCCACCCCACUUACAAAGCAAGGGAAAUAAUCUCUGCUGCAUUAUCUGCCACCCCUGCGUUCCUUUAGGAAGCACUCACAGCAUGUGUUGUCUUCCAAAUACCAGGCAGCGAGGUCGAAGCCACCCCCAAUUACUACACAAUUGGAGUUUGCUCCCUUACUGGCCUCCUUCUGCUGUUCCUGGUCCUCUGCACAUGGUGGCGAGGUAUGGUGUGGAAGAAGAUGAGAACCAUUACACAGCAGCAGGCCUCAAACACAGCGGAUAUCCACAUGGAAAACACCGUGGUGGGGGACAUGACAACAGUUUAUGCCACAAUUAGAGAAGACUUUGAAGAGACAAAGCCAAGAGCGUUACCAGAGACUCUCUACACAUCCAUAAGCUUCCCUCAAUAUUAUUCUGCUUUGGCUCCGAACUCGGCAGGAGAUAGAUCUGCGGCAGAGCCAAGGUGAUGCUGCUGCCACUCUGUCCCUUGUGAUCGGACCUUUGGUGAGCCCACUCCUGCGCAUGGAGUGUUUAAGUGCUUGGAGCAACAGGUUAUGGAAAUGCAUUAGUUUGCCUCAAACCACAGUUUCUCUUGAAUUUGAGGGAUGAUCUGCUUUUAGAUUCAUCUUCAGACUUCCAGAGAGCACAGAAACACUGAAUGCCAGAGGAAGAUGCCUAAAGCAAAGGCAAAACAACAGUUCACCCAUGAGAAGCUCAGUUCCAGAGACACACCUUAAUCUGAGGGGUAAUGGGGAACAUUGUGUGUAUUUCAGUCUUGCAUCCCAGGGUCCCUUACCAAUUGCCUUGUCGUAUUAAAAGAAUGUAU
rnacentral:lncRNA from 7 species